UACGUAGGCAGCGAGCGUUGUUCGGAGUUACUGGGCGUAAAGGGUGUGUAGGCGGUUCUUUAAGUUUGGUGUGAAAUCUCCCGGCUCAACCGGGAGGGUGCGCCGAAUACUGAGGGACUCGAGUGCGGGAGAGGAAAGUGGAAUUCCUGGUGUAGCGGUGAAAUGCGUAGAUAUCGAGAGGAACACCUGCGGCGAAGGCGGGUUGCUGGGCUGACACUGACGCUGAUGCGCGAAAGCCAGGGGAGCGAACGGG
rnacentral:rRNA from 1 species